UAGCCAUGUUGUGGACAUGUAUUUAUAAGAUCCUUAAAUCGCUCCCAACAUUAAAAGGUCUCAUCUUCUUUUUGUGCAAAAUUCAUGAUUACUUUAAUUAAGGUA